rnacentral:rRNA from 1 species
UACGGGGGGGGCAAGCGUUGUUCGGAAUUACUGGGCGUAAAGGGCUCGUAGGUGGCCAACUAAGUCAGACGUGAAAUCCCUCAGCUUAACUGGGGAACUGCGUCUGAUACUGGAUGGCUUGAGUUUGGGAGAGGGAUGCGGAAUUCCAGGUGUAGCGGUGAAAUGCGUAGAGAUCGGGAGGAACAUCAGUGGCGAAGGCGGCCCUCUGGACCAGUACUGACGCUGAGGCACGAAAGCGUGGGGAGCAAACAGG